rnacentral:rRNA from 1 species
UACGUAGGGGCUAGCGUUAUCCGGAAUUACUGGGCGUAAAGGGUGCGUAGGCGGUCUUUCAAGCCAGAAGUGAAAGGCUACGGCUCAACCGUAGUAAGCUUUUGGAACUGUAAGACUUGAGUGCAGGAGAGGAGAGUGGAAUUCCUAGUGUAGCGGUGGAAUGCGUAGAUACUGGUAGGAACACCCAUUGCGAAGGCAGCUCGCUGGACAGCACGUGACGCUGAGGCGCGAAAGUGUGGGGAGCAAACCGGAUUAGAUACCCUGGUAGU